rnacentral:rRNA from 1 species
CCUUCCGGGAACGUCUGACACAGGUGCUGCAUGGCGUGUCGUCAGCUCGUGUCGUGAGAUGUUGGGUUAAGUCCCGUAACGAGCGCAACCCUUGUCCUUAGUUACCAGCACGUUAUGGUGGGCACUCUAAGGAGACUGCCGGUGACAAACCGGAGGAAGGUGGGGAUGACGUCAAGUCAUCAUGGCCCUUACGGCCUGGGCUACACACGUGCUGCAAUGGUCGGUACAAAGGGUUGCCAAGCCGCGAGGUGGAGCUAAUCCCAUAAAACCGAUCGUAGUCCGGAUCGCAGUCUGCAACUCGACUGCGUGAAGUCGGAAUCGCUAGUAAUCGUGAAUCAGAAUGUCACGGUGAAUACGUUCCCGGGCCUU